GUAUAAUGGGUCAGCGACUUAUAUUCAGUGGCGAGCUUAACCGAAUAGGGGAGGCGUAGCGAAAGCGAGUCUUAAUAGGGCGUUUAGUCGCUGGGUAUAGACCCGAAACCGGGCGAUCUAUCCAUGGGCAGGUUGAAGGUUAGGUAACACUGACUGGAGGACCGAACCGACUACCGUUGAAAAGUUAGCGGAUGACCUGUGGAUCGGAGUGAAAGGCUAAUCAAGCUCGGAGAUAGCUGGUUCUCCUCGAAAGCUAUUUAGGUAGCGCCUCAUGUAUCACUGUAGGGGGUAGAGCACUGUUUCGGCUAGGGGGUCAUCCCGACUUACCAAACCGAUGCAAACUCCGAAUACCUACAAGUGCCGAGCAUGGGAGACACACGGCGGGUGCUAACGUCCGUCGUGAAAAGGGAAACAACCCAGACCGUCAGCUAAGGUCCCAAAGUCAUGGUUAAGUGGGAAACGAUGUGGGAAGGCUUAGACAGCUAGGAGGUUGGCUUAGAAGCAGCCACCCUUUAAAGAAAGCGUAAUAGCUCACUAGUCGAGUCGGCCUGCGCGGAAGAUGUAACGGGGCUCAAACCAUGCACCGAAGCUACGGGUAUCACCUUUUGGUGAUGCGGUAGAGGAGCGUUCUGUAAG
rnacentral:rRNA from 1 species